rnacentral:rRNA from 1 species
UCGGGAAUUUUGGGCAAUGGGCGAAAGCCUGACCCAGCAACGCCGCGUGAGUGACGAAGGUCUUCGGAUUGUAAAGCUCUUUUAGCAGGGAAGAUAAUGACGGUACCUGCAGAAUAAGCCCCGGCUAACUUCGUGCCAGCAGCCGCGGUAAUACGAAGGGGGCUAGCGUUGUUCGGAAUUACUGGGCGUAAAGCGCACGUAGGCGGAUUGAUAAGUUAGAGGUGAAAUCCCGGGGCUCAACCUCGGAACUGCCUUUGAUACUGUUAGUCUCGAGUCCGAUAGAGGUGAGUGGAAUUCCUAGUGUAGAGGUGAAAUUCGUAGAUAUUAGGAAGAACACCAGUGGCGAAGGCGGCUCACUGGAUCGGUACUGACGCUGAGGUGCGAAAGCGUGGGGAGCAAACAGGAUUAGAUACCCAUGUAGUCCCUGAGCGGGCUGGCAAGGCGCAU